GCCGGCCGAAGGGGAGAACAAGAGCGUCUCUCCAUGAAGCCGAGGAUGGCUCUGGGGACCUGGUCGGCCUCUUCCCUCAUCUGGAGAUGGAGCCCAUGACCAGCACUGAGAGGAGCUUCGUGGUGAGGCAGCGCGUUUUCCUGGUGAGGA